AUUGAACGCUGGCGGCAUGCCUUACACAUGCAAGUCGAACGGCAGCACGGGGGCAACCCUGGUGGCGAGUGGCGAACGGGUGAGUAACACAUCGGAACGUGUCCUGUUGUGGGGGAUAACCAGUCGAAAGACUGGCUAAUACCGCAUGAGCUGGAGACAGGAAAGCGGGGGACCUGAAAGGGCCUCGUGCGAUUGGAGCGGCCGAUGUCCGAUUAGCUAGUUGGUGGGGAAAGGCCCACCAAGGCGACGAUCGGUAGCUGGUCUGAGAGGAUGAUCAGCCACACUGGGACUGAGACACGGCCCAGACUCCUACGGGAGGCAGCAGUGGGGAAUUUUGGACAAUGGGGGCAACCCUGAUCCAGCCAUGCCGCGUGAGUGAAGAAGG
rnacentral:rRNA from 1 species